AGAGUUUGAUCCUGGCUCAGGACGAACGCUGGCGGCGUGCUUAACACAUGCAAGUCUAGGGGGCCCGCAAGGGUCACCGGCGAACGGGUGCGUAACACGUGAGCGACCUACCCUGGAAUGGGGGAUAGCCGGCCCAACGGCCGGGUAAUACCGCAUACGCUCUUCGAGCUUCAUGGCUUGGAGAGGAAACCUUUUGGGUUCAAGGAGGGGCUCGCGGCCUAUCAGCUAGUUGGUGAGGUAACGGCUCACCAAGGCUAUGACGGGUAGCUGGUCUGAGAGGAUGGCCAGCCACAUUGGGACUGAGAAACGGCCCAGACUCCUACGGGAGGCAGCAGUGGGGAAUAUUGCGCAAUGGUCGAAAGACUGACGCAGCGACGCCGCGUGGAGGAUGACGCCCUUCGGGGUGUAAACUCCUGUUGCUCGGGACGAACCUCUCCUUUCGAGGAGACUGACGGUACCGAGUGAGGAAGCACCGGCUAACUCUGUGCCAGCAGCCGCGGUAAUACAGAGGGUGCGAGCGUUGUCCGGAAUCACUGGGCGUAAAGGGCGCGUAGGCGGCUUGGUAAGCGUGCGGUGAAAGCUCAGGGCUCAACCCUGAGUCUGCCGUGCGAACUGCCGAGCUGGAGCACGGUAGAGGCACAUGGAAUUCCGGGUGUAGCGGUGGAAUGCGUAGAGAUCCGGAAGAACACCGGUGGCGAAGGCGGUGUGCUGGGCCGUUGCUGACGCUGAGGCGCGACAGCGUGGGGAGCAAACAGGAUUAGAUACCCUGGUAGUCCACGCCGUAAACGAUGGGCACUAGGCCCUUGGGGGAGCGACCCCCUGAGGACCGGCGCAAAC
rnacentral:rRNA from 1 species